UGGGGAAUAUUGCACAAUGGGCGCAAGCCUGAUGCAGCCAUGCCGCGUGUGUGAAGAAGGCCUUCGGGUUGUAAAGCACUUUCAGCGGCGAGGAAGGCGAUAAGGUUAAUAACCUUGUCGAUUGACGUUACCCGCAGAAGAAGCACCGGCUAACUCCGUGCCAGCAGCCGCGGUAAUACGGAGGGUGCAAGCGUUAAUCGGAAUUACUGGGCGUAAAGCGCACGCAGGCGGUCUGUCAAGUCGGAUGUGAAAUCCCCGGGCUCAACCUGGGAACUGCAUUGGAAACUGGCAGGCUAGAGUCUUGUAGAGGGGGGUAGAAUUCCAGGUGUAGCGGUGAAAUGCGUAGAGAUCUGGAGGAAUACCGGUGGCGAAGGCGGCCCCCUGGACAAAGACUGACGCUCAGGUGCGAAAGCGUGGGGAGCAAACAGG
rnacentral:rRNA from 1 species